UACGUAGGGUGCAAGCGUUGUCCGGAAUUAUUGGGCGUAAAGAGCUCGUAGGCGGUUUGUUGCGUCGGCUGUGAAAUCCCGAGGCUCAACCUCGGGUCUGCAGUCGAUACGAGCAGACUGGAGUGUGGUAGGGGAGAUCGGAAUUCCUGGUGUAGCGGUGAAAUGCGCAGAUAUCAGGAGGAACACCGGUGGCGAAGGCGGAUCUCUGGGCCAUUACUGACGCUGAGGAGCGAAAGCGUGGGGAGCGAACAGG
rnacentral:rRNA from 1 species